ensembl:miRNA eca-mir-8927-2 eca-mir-8927-2
AGAGCCUCCAUGAUUCCAGCUUCCUGCUGGGAAUGAGGAUGGGGAGUGUGAUGUAAGAACUGUUUUCCCAGGUAAAGAACUCUGGCAACAUUCUGCAGUCCCUGGAAAAGCUGUGUUCCCUUCAGGGGUGUGGAUUUGUGUGCAU